rnacentral:rRNA from 1 species
CAGUAGCCGCGGGAACACGAAGGGUGCAAGCGUUAAUCGGAAUUACUGGGCGUAAAGCGCGCGUAGGUGGUUUGGUAAGAUGGAUGUGAAAUCCCCGGGCUCAACCUGGGAACUGCAUCCAUAACUGCCUGACUAGAGUACGGUAGAGGGUGGUGGAAUUUCCUGUGUAGCGGUGAAAUGCGUAGAUAUAGGAAGGAACACCAGUGGCGAAGGCGACCACCUGGACUGAUACUGACACUGAGGUGCGAAAGCGUGGGGAGCAAACAGGAUUAGAUACCCCCGUAGUCCCUGUCUCUUAUAU